AGUCACUUAUCUCUCUCACAGAAAAUUACAGCCCUGGAUAAUUGGAUGAGAAACAUGAUUGGUAAAAUGGACUUCAGCAUGUUAGAGAUGAAGUUAUUCAUGUGUAAGAAACUGUGGGAGUGCAAUGUUGACCACGACACCAACAAAAUCUCUAUAGACCAGCUAUGUGUGGAGCUUAGGGCGGGAGGGGUCAGUCUAACACACGAGACAGAGGUCCGAGACAAACUCUCACAUCUGGAUGCACUUGACCUCCUCGACUUCCUCACCUACAUCCCUCUUUUUAUCAUGAUACACCAGUCUGUUGUGGACAACCCUCUAGACGAUACUCGCAACAAGUAAAUCACUCUAGAUAACAAAUUCAUAAGCUUUCAUCGGACACUAAAAUAGCAUUAAAAUUUAACACAUGACAAAUGAAGGUCACCUACCACUAGGUCACUAGUAAGAGUCACCUGUCACUUGGUAACUAGCGUGAGUCAUCUGCCACUCAUGGACAAGGGUGGGCCACCUGCCACUUGGGAACUAGUGAAAGUCACCUGUCACGUAGGGACUAGUGAAAGUCACCUGCCACUCACGGACAAGUGUGGGUCACCUACCACUCUGAAUCUUGUGUGGUUACCAGCUACUCGGGAACUAGCAAUUCACCGGCCUCUGGGUAACUAGCGAGAGUCACCUGCCACUCAAGGAUAGGUGUGGGUCACCUACCACUCAUGGACAAGUGAGAGUCAUCUGCCACUCAUGGAGAGGUGUGGGCCAUCUGCCACAAGUGUAAGUUACCUGUCACUCAGGAUCUAGUGUGGGUCACCUGCCACUUGGGAACAAGUAAGAAUCACCUGCCUCUUGGGAACUAGUGAGUCACCUGCUACUCAGGGAUAAGUGAGAGUCACUUGCCACUCAGGGACAAGUGUGGGUCACCUGCCACUCAGGGACAAGUGUGGGUCACCUGCCACUCAGGGAUAGGUGAGAGUCACUUGUCACCCAGGGACAAGUGUGGGUCACCUGCCAUUCAGGGAUAAGUGAGAGUCACUUGCCACGCAGGGACAAGUGUGGGUCAUCUGCCACUUGGGAACAAGUAAGAAUCACCUGCCUCUUGGGAACUAGUGAGUCACCUGCCACUCAGGGACAAGUGAGAGUCACUUGCCAAGCAGGGACAAGUGUGGGUCACCUGCCUCUCGGGAAGUAGUGAGGGUCACGUACCACUAGGGAACUAGUGCAAGUCACCUGCUACUCAGGGAUAAGUAAGAGUCAUCUGCCACUAGGGAACUAGUGCGAGUCACCUGCUACUCAGGGACAAGUGUGGGUCAUCUGCCACUUGGGAAAUAGUGAAACAGUUGAGGGUGGCAGUAAUUAGGUACUCAGGACAAGUGUUUGGAAGCUUACAUUCAGGAGCAGAAAUGGUCCUCUGGUACAUUCAGCAAGACAUCGCAGUCUAUGUUUGAAUUAUGAGAUGAUCUGCUUUAAGAACUGAACAAAUUAAAGCUUCAGAUCUUUGUGUAUAGUGUUGUAGUCAAUGGAUAUUGUCACUACCUUAAUUUGUGAUUGUGCUAAAGACAGAACACAAUUACACUCUAGCAUGGUGGGCUGCAAUUAACCAUGAAAAUGUUGUUUAAAGUGAUGGAGCUUGUCCACUGGUCACAUGGGAUCCUUGAGGAAGAUAACUGGCUACCGUCAGCCAAGUGCCCUAGACAGUAUCCAAGCAAGUUUACAUAGUCAGGGCAAUGUUGUUAGUUUAACAAGUCUUGCAACGAGACCAACUUUUAAGAGAAUAUCUUUAAGGAUGAAGAAACCUGUGCUGUGGAAGUAUAGAGAUAGAAUCAUUCAUGUUUAAUUAAUGCAGCUUAGGUCAAGUGGUCAAAGUAUCGCAUUUAGAUGGGUACAGAACCAAUGUGUAGACAAUCAGUGCUUGUGAGAAAAUUGGUUGAUUUAAAUUUGAUUGUAAUAUAAAUACAGAUGUUUAUUAAUUAACCACAGUUCCAUUUUAUAAAAGGAUGGUAGUUGAUAGUAGUGUGAUGAAAUGUACAAUACCUGGUAGAUGACCAGUAUCAGAAUGCAUGUAGUUUAUAAGCCGUGAUAUUUUAUCAAUAAUCUGUGAUAUGUACCUGGUAGAUUCCUGGUAGUUUUCAUUGAAUCCUGUAUGAGGUGAAAGUUGAUUGAAUGUAGACUGAAUAAGUUUGAAAUAUUAUAGUUGGCUUGACUCCAAGUGUGUUUGAAACACAUCUAUUUCUAUGAGAGCAAUGUGAACAUUCACCAGUUGUGAAAUGAGAUUUUGUAGUAAUCUCUGGUGAAAGCAAUAUACAUCCAUGGGACCAACACAUGAACUGUCUGGUAUCACUAUGAGUAAUAUAUACAAUCCCGGUUGAGUUCCAAUGGACAUUUACACAUUAGUCGUCUCCCUUUGUCAGUUCCUGCAAACUAUCAUAUGAAUUGUAUGUAGACCUCUGAGCAGUAAAUGUUUGUGUAGUUAAGACAUAUUGCUUAAUCUUCUUAGGGUUUCUUUAUUUCAACCAUUUCAUACAGGAAAAUUGUUUUGUAUUCAUUUAGCUGUCUUUGUAAACAGUAGUUUCAAACAAUGUCAGACAGAUAAACUUACAUGACCACAAUCCUUCUCCAAGGAGAUAUUCUUACAUUCACAUAUAUAUACAUUUUUGAAUAAAUUUGUAUGUUCAUACAGUACCAAAAUCUUGUUUUAUUGCAUUCCCUCAAAACUAUUACUGGUGGUUAUCUCCGUAACUUAAUUCUGUACAAAAAAAAAAAAUCCUCGCAUGAAUUUUCUAGGAAUUUUGAGUGAAAAAAUUAGCAGAUAAAAACAUUAGAAAGGGAAACAUCUGAAACGAGGAUAACUUGUCAGUGUAAGAGUGUGACUUAAGGUAGGACAGUCAAACAGUUGUCAAACCGUUCAUGUCUGCUGUUGUGAGUGUUUGUCCAGAAUUGUGACCUGUAGCUAGAAUAUAGAGACACAGUUUUACAAGCUUGUAAGGCCUCUGUUGUAGGGUAAAUGGUUUGAUUACCUUGUACAUGGUGACAUAGCUUCACAAAGACAACAAACACACACAAAUUGUUAUGAUGUGAAGCCAGACUUUAUUGCCUAAAUACAGCAGGAUGGUGCGUUAGUCAGCACCAUGUAUGGUUAUGUACAGGAUGGGUACAACAGAUAACUAUACAGAUACUGUACACAGGUGGAGGUCACAAUACACAGACAUGGAGCAAACCUAGAACACCGUAGCACUUUAUGGCCCAACGCCCAGUCAAUUUGGUGUACUAGUGUAACAUAGAGAACACUCUGCAUAAUGCUGACUUUACCACUUCAAUACAGAAACAUAGAUAGAUACAUUCAAAUUUAUUAUGCUUAAUUUUCUGUCAAAUAGUUUCAUGUCACUUGAGCUUUUCCUUUAAUUCAAAAAAGGAAAGGACAUAGAAGAGAACCGCCGCUUACAAAACUUCAAAACUGGUUCAUAAUAUUGAGAAAAAAACGCUUAUUAAAUUUUAAAUAACGACAUGAACAGCAAAUCGUUUUUGUUAGGAAAAGAAAGGUAGACUUUUCUCAGAUGGUUUUACAUGUAACAAUUAGAGACUGGUUAAGUGAAGAACAUACAAGAAGCUCUAUAAAUAUGCGUAUUUACAAUGACACAGUGCCCAGCACACUAGACAGCACCUUGUAACAUACAUCACAUCUGUAUCUCUUUGGUAAUGGAUACAUACAGAACUUUUUAAUUUACACAGGGCCUUGACAGUUCCAUCCAGUCUUGUAUAAUAAAGGAAAAUAUUUGUAGUUGGAAAUUUGAUGUUAAAAUACAAGCCCCUGUAUUAAAUGAUAAUUGUCAGGAGGAUCAACUGUUACCAACCAUUUCCCUUCCAUUGUUAUGCUGUGACAGAUAUUAAAGAUUCAAACAGGGCUGAAAUGCUUUACUUUUAGCUAAGGGGAGACAACUGUAGUUGUAAGUUGUAUCGCACAGAAAUCGUGAAGACACCUUCAUCCCAGACUGUUAAAUUUGAUCUUGAUAAUUCUCUAGUUUAAAUCUACUUCAUAUAUGUCUAUAGUUCUGUCAAUUAUAUCUUAAAGAUAUAUAAUAUAUAAUAGUUAACUCCUUCUUCAAAAUGUGAAUAAUUGUACUAAAAAUCCCAUAACAGUUCAUAAUAUCCGACGCCCCUGUUGUAACUUAUGUUGGCUUCAUUGUUUUAUUUCUUAUUUAAAGCUCAAGUCUUUGGAAAUGGAUACCUAGAUGGUCAUGUUUCAGCACAGAUAAUGAAGUUUAAGUAGCAUAAGUGAACCACUUUGGAUAUAUCGUGUUGUAAUAACGGAAUGAAACCUGAACUAUAAAGGAACACAGAAUAGGGAAAUAAAAGGGGACGCAAUACAUAUCUGACUACACAAUGUUGGAAAUAGUAAUAUCAACAGUUGUAUGUAACACUGUAUGAUCCUUCCCCCCCCCUAACACUGUAUGAUCCUUCCACCCCUACACUGUAUGAUCCUUCCCCCCCUAACACUGUAUGAUCCUUCCACCCCUAACACUGUAUGAUCCUUCCCCCCCCUAACACUGUAUGAUCCUUCCCCCCCUAACACUGUAUGAUCCUUCUACCCCUACACUGUAUGAUCCUUCCCCCCCUAACACUGUAUGAUCCUUCCACCCCUAACACUGUAUGAUCCUUCCACCCCUACGGUGUUACAAGUAAAUCCAGAUCACUGAGGGCCUGUGAGUGACAGGAAGGAUUAACCUUGUAGAUAAUAGCAAGAAUGAAAUGUUGUAUAUAUAUCGCCACACAUGCAUAACAUACAAAAAUCACUAAGAGAGAUGUAUCAGGCACGCUACAAUUGUAAUACACUGUAAACUUGGUUAAAUAGAGGCUCUGAUGUGUAACGUACUUGCCAUCCCUUAGUGGACAUCAUGGACUGUUCCUCCAUUGAUAUUGGCCAGCCAAAUAUAAUCUGUAGGGAAUGGCAGAUCAUAAAUAGUAAGUAACAAAAUAAUGAGAAACCAGAAACCAUAGUAGCAAUAAUUAAUUAAUGUGAUGUACAAGUAGGCAAUGUACACCGAUUUAUACUUCAUACCACUCACAACAUUCAUUCUCAAAAUAUACAUAUGUCCAAAUAUUGAUUCAAGUUGGUUCUAUCAUUGUAAAUCUGUAGAAUACACAUCAUAUAUUACCUACCAGGUAUCGGUACCAUACAUAUAUAUAUGUGUUCUGUAGUUACAGUAAAAAGUCCUGUUGUUUUCUCCGUGUAUAAAACUACAGAGUAUAUUAAAUGGUUACAGAUAAACUCCAGUACAUACAGUCAGCCUAGGCCAAUACAUAUUGAUCCCUCAACAUACACACAUUAUUUACUGUAUAUUUAUAAGGGUUGAAAAUAGAAGAUUAUUCGUAAAAAUACUGUGUAGAUUUUAUAGCCUAAUAAGGGUGCAGAGUACAUGUCAUCCUCAAUUAAGUCUUUUCUAGAUUCUUCCGUUAUUAAUAUGGUAUUACAGUCGGUAUUAAUUACUGGUAUGCCGAAAAUUCUCGAUUUAAGAUUAUUUUACGGAUAAAAAAGAAAUAAAGGAACAUUGAGCUUAUAAUCUAAGCAGGAGAAUGUUUACUGGUGAAAAUAGCACCCUUACUAGGAUAUAUUGACCACUCUGGCCUGUGUGAUGAUCUGGUUAUGUAGUACCGGGAUAGACAAUCACCACAACAAACCCUCACUUACACAAUAUUGCACGAAUCUUUACAUAUGUCUACAUGCACUCUUAUCUAUUUACAAUCGUUAAUACGGUAAUAAAGAUGAAAUUACAAAAACUGGAGGAAAUACUUUUCCAACACGCAUACCUGAAUUUUUCUCCUACAACUGACACUGAAAAUUUUGUGUCAAAUGGAGGUGGCUUUGCAUGAUAUAAAGAAAUAAUAAAUGGAGGUAAAUACUUUGGAUUCCCACAGCAUGAUUCCUCAAUGUUGUUCUUGAAUAGACCAUAAAAAAUUUGUUUCCAAAACAAUUACAAUGACUACUACAAACAUUAAUUGACGUUAAACAAUGCUUGUAUUUGUCAGAGGUUGAUCUCAUGCUGAAAUGAGAAUCUAUGAAAUUUCAGGAAACGGGAAGACCAAGAUCUCACCAGCAGCUUACACCAAGUCACGUGAAUGUACCACAGAGCAGAAAUGCCUUGUGAAAGUGUGACAUACAACAAAAAAUUCUGAGAUAUAUCAAAAAACCUUGUACCGUUAUUUUUUAAGAUGGUUUUCAAACUGAGCCCGUCUGCCUAGGACAAUGAAAUUUCUAACUCAGAAACAUCUAAACAUGUUUAUCUCCCCUACACAACGGGACAGUUAAUGGUCUGGCUCCAUCACUAGUACUUUUAUGACCAAAUCACCAGAAAUGUUUGUUGAGACGUGUACAUGUAUUUCAAUAGAUAUAUCUCCUUUUGUGUACAGAAAUCCAGGCCAGUGACUAGAGACAAGCAUGCAAGACACUUGUCAUUUCAAUUAUUUCCCCUGGGGUACAGGCAAGUCAUUUCCCCUGGGGUACAGGUAAGUCAUUCCAGACAAGUCUUGGACACACUUAUCAUUACUUAUACCGAGCUAUUUCCCCUUGUAUACACUGCCCAGUCACUAGAGGCACUUUGUUACUUGGAGUAACUUCCCUUGGAAUUAUCUCCCCUUAGAUAUUUUCUUCUGCACAUGGAUGAUGAGGAGACUGUGUUAAAUUUUUCGUUACCAAUACAGAGCUAUCUCCUGUCAGUGUAGUACAACAAGUUCAGUGAGAUGUUUCAGAGAGUUGUUUGUCAUAAAUGGUUCAGUUAUUUUUCUGGUGUACUCUGGCCAGUAACUAAACACAAGUCUGGGAGACACUUGUCAGUACUUGUACAGAGUUAUUUCCCCUGAUGUUCUCUGGCCAGUAACUAAACACAAG